rnacentral:rRNA from 1 species
AACGAACGCUGGCGGCAGGCCUAACACAUGCAAGUCGAACGCUCUAGCACUAGAGAGAGGCGCACGGGUGCGUAACGCGUGGGAAUAUGCCCUUGACUACGGAACAACGUCUGGAAACUGACGCUAAUACCGUAUAAUGUCCUAGGACCAUAGAUUUAUCGGUCAAGGAUUAGCCCGCGUCUGAUUAGCUAGUUGGUGAGGUAACGGCUCACCAAGGCGACGAUCAGUAGCUGGUCUGAGAGGAUGAACAGCCACACUGAGACUGAGACACGGCCCAGACUCCUACGGGAGGCAGCAGUGAGGAGUAUUGGACGAUGGAGGCAACUCUGAUCCAGCCAUGCCGCGUGAGUGACGAAGGCCUUCGGGUUGUAAAGCUCUUUCAGAUGCGAAGAUAAUGACGGUAACAUCAGAAGAAGCCCCGGCUAAAUUCGUGCCAGCCGCCGCGGUAA